GGAGGUUGUGGCUCAGUGGAAGAGCAUCUGCUUGGCUUGCAAAUGGUCCUGGGUUCAAUCUCUGACAUCUCCA
rnacentral:tRNA from 1 species